GACGAACGCUGGCGGCGCGCUUAACACAUGCAAGUCGAACGGAAAGGCCCUGCUUUUGUGGGGUGCUCGAGUGGCGAACGGGUGAGUAACACGUGAGUAACCUGCCCUUGACUUUGGGAUAACUUCAGGAAACUGGGGCUAAUACCGGAUAGGAGCUCCUGCUGCAUGGUGGGGGUUGGAAAGUUUCGGCGGUUGGGGAUGGACUCGCGGCUUAUCAGCUUGUUGGUGGGGUAGUGGCUUACCAAGGCUUUGACGGGUAGCCGGCCUGAGAGGGUGACCGGCCACAUUGGGACUGAGAUACGGCCCAGACUCCUACGGGAGGCAGCAGUGGGGAAUAUUGCACAAUGGGCGGAAGCCUGAUGCAGCAACGCCGCGUGCGGGAUGACGGCCUUCGGGUUGUAAACCGCUUUCGCCUGUGACGAAGCGUGAGUGACGGUAAUGGGUAAAGAAGCACCGGCUAACUACGUGCCAGCAGCCGCGGUGAUACGUAGGGUGCGAGCGUUGUCCGGAUUUAUUGGGCGUAAAGGGCUCGUAGGUGGUUGAUCGCGUCGGAAGUGUAAUCUUGGGGCUUAACCCUGAGCGUGCUUUCGAUACGGGUUGACUUGAGGAAAGGUAGGGGAGAAUGGAAUUCCUGGUGGAGCGGUGGAAUGCGCAGAUAUCAGGAGGAACACCAGUGGCGAAGGCGGUUCUCUGGGCCUUUCCUGACGCUGAGGAGCGAAAGCGUGGGGAGCGAACAGGCUUAGAUACCCUGGUAGUCCACGCUGUAAACGGUGGGUACUAGGUGUGGGGUCCAUUCCACGGGUUCCGUGCCGUAGCUAACGCUUUAAGUACCCCGCCUGGGGAGUACGGCCGCAAGGCUAAAACUCAAAGGAAUUGACGGGGCCCCGCACAAGCGGCGGAGCAUGCGGAUUAAUUCGAUGCAACGCGUAGAACCUUACCUGGGUUUGACAUGGAUCGGGAGUGCUCAGAGAUGGGUGUGCCUCUUUUGGGGUCGGUUCACAGGUGGUGCAUGGCUGUCGUCAGCUCGUGUCGUGAGAUGUUGGGUUAAGUCCCGCAACGAGCGCAACCCUUGUUCACUGUUGCCAGCACGUUAUGGUGGGGACUCAGUGGAGACCGCCGGGGUCAACUCGGAGGAAGGUGGGGAUGACGUCAAGUCAUCAUGCCCCUUAUGUCCAGGGCCUCACGCAUGCUACAAUGGCUGGUACAGAGAGUGGCGAGCCUGUGAGGGUGAGCGAAUCUCGGAAAGCCGGUCUCAGUUCGGAUUGGGGUCUGCAACUCGACCUCAUGAAGUCGGAGUCGCUAGUAAUCGCAGAUCAGCAACGCUGCGGUGAAUACGUUCCCGGGGCU
rnacentral:rRNA from 1 species